rnacentral:rRNA from 1 species
UACGAGAGGCCCAAACGUUAUUCGGAAUUACUGGGCUUAAAGAGUUCGUAGGCGGCGCAGAAAGUAGGGUGUGAAAGCCCUCGGCUCAACCGAGGAAUUGCGCUCUAAACUACUGUGCUUGAGGAAUCUAGAGGUAGCGGAACUGAUGGUGGAGCGGUGAAAUGCGUUGAUAUCAUCAGGAACACCGGAGGCGAAGGCGGCUCACUGGGGAUUUUCUGACGCUGAGGAACGAAAGCCAGGGGAGCGAACGGG